GCUGCUCACGGGAGGACUACAUGGAGAGGCUUACACAAUGUACGGUAUAAUUGCCAUCUUGGUCGCGACAGGAAUAUUGUCUUGGAGUUCUGCAGACAACCCGUGUGUCGGGGACAGACUGGGAAACUAUUGGUUCGGACCUUCCUGCAGGUUCCAGUGCCACUGUUACGACAGAAGGCAAUGCGAGUCCACAACAGGAAGCUGCUCUUCCUUGGGAUGUGAGAGGGGAUACUUUGGUCCCGGCUGCCAGUACUUCUCCAUUGCCUACGAACAACCAACAAUACAUUCCAGUACUAAGUCGACGUCAACCACUGCUGUAGACGGUUUCACCUCCACCUUCUCGUUCACACGAUCCACCCUGGACCCAAAAUGGAGCGUGGAGUUACAACACCCUGCCUGGAUAGUCUGGGUGGACGUCAAUGUGCAAGCGAAUUACGGAACGCGGGAAAUAGCAAUGGCAACAAGAAACAAAGACACGGUCGUGCCGUGUAACGCUACGAACACUUGGAUCACGUCUACAACGUUGAGAAUCACGUGCAAGAACGUCGUCAACGCCACCAACAUCACACUUGUCGGUACAGAGUCAACGGAGUCCAGACUGGCUUUGGGAAGUACAAGUUUACGGAGGCAGAAACAUCGCACUACGGGGAGACACAUCACAGUCUUCAGUGUUUAACAUGUAUAAUUCAUCUCUUGCGGUGGACGCCGGCACUUCCGCCAAAUUUGAAGAUAAAUCAUGUACUCACACGGCAGUUACAUCGUGUUCGAAACUGGGACAACAGAUCCCAACUGGAUUCUCCGGCUUGGACAGGACUACCAGAUAUACAGGGUAGAUGUGUACAAUAGGGAUGAACCAUAUGAUGUGCGACUCAAAGAUUUUCGCAUCCGUUUGGGAAAAGCAGGCAUAAGUGGAUUGGAACAGGUCUACCAAGAUGGAUCAGAUACACCACCGGAAGUGACGUCAGUACAGAUGCCAGCCAAUCAAACGGCCAACAGACUGGAGGUGACCAUGAUAGGAGACUGCAAGAUAUUGACGCUGUGUGAGGUGCAGGUGUUUGGUGACUGUCUCGACUACAAAUAUGGCUUAGACUGCAACUUCACCUGCCGUUGUCGUGACCGAGCGGAAGUGUGCAACAAGGUCGACGGAAGUUGCGUGUCAGGCUGUGCAGAUGGCUUUACUGGAGUUGACUGUAAACAAGAGUGCCCAGAAGGACGCUACGGCUUCAACUGCACGAACACCUGCAGUAGCAACUGUGUCGACGCUCACUGUCAUCACGUGGAUGGCACGUGCAAGUGUGUUCCCGGAUGGAUGGGAGAUAGAUGUACAACGGUCUGCGACCAGGGUACCUAUGGACACGAAUGCAGUAACAAAUGCUCCACGUGCAGAGACUCCAUCUGUCACCCUGGCAACGGCACGUGCAUCAUGGGAUGUCAGCAUGGUUGGGCCGGAAGUCGGUGUGAUACAGAGUGUCCCCCUGGCAGCUAUGGACAAGAUUGUGGGAUGCAUUGCAGCAACAACUGUGUCGGGAGCCUUUGUGAUCACGUGAACGGCAUGUGCACGUGCAUACUGGGAUGGAAGGGAGAUAAAUGCGAUAGACUGGAUGCAGACCCGUCACGAUCAAGCGUAAAUCCCAUAGUGUCAGGACUAGCUGGAUCGGGAUUAACGGCCGUGGUAGCAGUCGUUGUGGCAGCAAUUUUCCUCCUGGCCCGUAGACAUCGACGACGAAGACAGAGAACCCAGGAGCAGGUUAUAUAUCAUGAUAUCAUUGAUGAUAUUCAUCCGGGUGUGCCCGGAAGUCAAGUUAAUCAGAGCGAGUCACGUGAGCAUUAUGACGUUCUUGAUGUUACAUCACGUGAUCCAGACGAUGAGCUUGGAAAACCCUACACGGCCCUGAAUGCAAUACCGCAACAACGUGAAAGAAAGUCACUUGAGGAUUAUGACGUUCUUGACGUCACAUCACGUGACCCAGAGGAGGGAAUUGAAAGAACCUACACGGAACUAACUACCAACACGCCAUAUCAAAACAUUCCGAUAUCUGGAAGAGAUCAAUCUUGUUAAAAAUAUUCAUAUCUGAUUUCCAUAUGUCGGGUUGAUAAGCUGUCUAGUUAAUAAACCUGAACAGAUUGAAUCUAAUGUACAGUAGCCAGAAAUAAGUCUUCCAAAUCAUUCCAUUUCGAAGAGAAUAUGAACCAUGUGGAAAGUCCAAUGUUCCUUUAUUUUGAUGAUUGUACGUGAUCUAGAAAAUCUAAUGGAACUUUUGAAAACUGUAGGGUCGAGUGUAAGCGACCUCACGCUUUCUGACCUUUCCUGAUAGAAUUUUGAGUAGAGGCGUAUAUAACCAAGACCUUGAUUUGUUGAAGGAGAAAUUCAUCCAUGAACAUUUGAACAUCUUUAUGUGCAUGGUUUUCUUUAUUUAUACCCCAUCUAGAAAUCCCGUGGUUUGUGGUGGACCAACAGAUUGUACCCAUGUAGAAAUCCCGUGGUUUGUGGUGGACCAACAGAUUGUACCC
rnacentral:misc_RNA from 1 species